ensembl:snoRNA
CGCAGAUGAUGUCUUUUCUCACGAUGGUCUUCCUAGACUCCAAGAGAGCUCUGAGGAUACUGCCUUUGGCAAUGCUGACUGAUGCAGUUGA